CAUCAGAUCGUCGUCGCCCUGCAAGCACACAUGGCAGCCGCUGCGGUCAGUUGAUGAGAGAAGGGCACACAAGUAGGUCCGGCUAAGCUAGGGGCUUGGCACGACGUGCACUUGCUGCCAGGUACUGUGCUUAUGACCCUGGCGGUCCCAUUGCCUUCUCGGUGUCAUGCAUAACGUUUCAGGGGCCAGGUUUUCAAUGGAGCUCAUCUGUGUGCGUUGAGCCUAGCUCAUGAGCUGCCGAAUGCUUGAAAACCUGGGCCCUUCUCCCUGGACUGCAAAGGACCCUUCCUACGGAGGAAACUCAGACCCAAGGAAGUGCCCCAGCAAUAUUUUGCACGUGCAGAGAGAAACAGGACAGGCACUGUCAUCAUGGAGAGCUCGACCUUCCUAGACGGAGCUUGUAGAACAAGUACUACCGACAGCAGGAGGCCCAGAUGUGAUCAUUUCCUCACCAAAUAGUCCUGCCCAUUUCUCUUGUCUCUGCAUUAGAUCCUGCCUCGGCUCUGUUCCUUGUCAGCCUCUGCCAGGCUCUCCCUCCCUUGCCCAUACAGGAUGCAUGCAGGACUCCCUCUGAGCCCACUUGCCUCCCUGACACAAGGGGAUCCAGUGGCUUGAGCGGGUGGCAAUGGGCAGUCCGUCCUCCUCUAGGUGAGCAGCUUAAAUGCAGUGUCAGCAGUGUCUGAGAGCCGUGAGGUGACCCAUGUAAAACAAGGAGCUGGUGUUGGUCUGGUCCCCGAGCAUAAUGAACUGGCACGGCAGAGCCCACAUGGCAUUGCAAGCGUUCACGAAAAAUGGGCAGUGACUGAGUGCAACUCCUCCAUCCGCUCAGGAGCUUAACUGGUUUUGUGCUGUUUGGAGCUACUGGGACCAGCUGUUCCCUGGGCUACGUGGGCACCUUUGACGGUUGCAUAAAAAUGAGCUUCCUGGUAUUUUAACCCUGUGCAUGAGCAAUCAAAUGAGGACAGCAAUGAGAAUACAGUGCCGUGGUAAUGCCUGGCUCAGGUGUUUGGCCUGCAGUGAUGGCUUCAGCAGUAGCUCUGCAUCCCCUUUUAGCACAGGGUGCCGUAGAGAAGGGGAGAGAGGGCAAUGGGGCAUGUGGGUGACAAAACAGGCAGCGGUUUGUAGCUGUUCCCCUGCUCUUGGCCAUCGGCCCAGGGAUCCUCAAUGCACUGCUGCAGCUGGAAGCUGUCAGGCUUGGUGAAGGUGUAGAUGUGGCGUGGUCUAAUAAGUGUGGGCUGCAGGAACCCUUAGCUACAAUAGGCAAUAGGUGGCUUGUGUUUCCUUAGCAGAAAGGAGUCUGCGCUGGUCGUCUGCCCCCUCCCUGCUGCCUGGUGGCCUGGAUUCAUUUUUUGCUUGGUGCCAGAAUCACUGCCGUGGGCAUGAGGAGCUCCUCUGCUGCCAUGCAGUAGUGACUGCCCCGGGCUGUGCCCGAGGUGGCGACCACACAGCCCUGUACAUUAAAGGGGACCAGCUGGUCCCUUGCUUUCACAGUCACAGGCAUCAUUUGCUGAAUGAGCCCCAUGGCCUAUCCGCGUUGUGGUAAGGAGUGACUGAGGAGCUGGCUCCCCUGCACCCCAAGCUGCAGGCACUUUUGGGAAGAGACCUAUGCAUCCACAUGCUCCUUGUCUUCACGCUGACCACAGACCCCUGGACUAACCCCUGCCUAUUCCCUCUGCAUGGUGAUGCCCCUUUGGGGGGCAUGGGGCUCACUGCCGAACCCUACUGCCUUCACCUUGCUGUGCAGUGGCACUUGCCAGGGGUUUCUGCAGCUUCCAUUUCAAGUGCCCUGCACAAGUGCAGCCCUUGCCAGCCUCCCUAAACCAGGGUCCUGUGCCCCUGCUGGCCUCCAUGCAGCCUUCUCCACACUGGGCCAUGCAGUGCAUGGGCCUGUGAUCCAGGCAGCGAGGUUUAGGUUAUGCCAGCUCAUUCCCCCGGGGGAUCCUCCUCCAGUCUUGGCUCCACUAGCGAUGGGGGAACCUGUCUACAUCUUCAUUUCCCAUUUUCUCAUGUUAUUUUCACUUCCCCAACAUGACUGUUGCGAGCAUGAGGUUGAUUCCUACGUCCAACCUGGUAAGAGGUUGAGGCCUGAGUGAGAUUUCCCUGCGGUCGCUGAAUAUCACAGCGGCCCUUCAUGCGGGAUCAAUGCCGAAUACCAUUCAGUUUCUUUAUGGAACAGAUUCCCCACUGCUCAAAGCACAGGUCACCUGCAGGGCUGAUCAUGAGUCUAACGGGGAGUUUUGGCUGGAGUCUGCUUGCAAAGUACAGACUCGGAGCAAAACAGGGGUGAGGGAGCUGAGUGUUUGAUGCAGCUGUGGGUCCCAGAGAGAAGCAAUAGGUGCUGCCAGGGGAAGGCAGUGAGGAAGCCCCAGAUACAGGCAGAGAAGCCCUUGGAGCAUGAGAUUGGGAAGGAGGUAGAGGAGGAGAAGAAAGCUUCUGGAUAGAGCCACUGGAAACAGGUGAGGAACCGGGCGCAAGAAACCGUGUCCUGCUAUUUGCAUCCUAUUGUGCAUACAGCAACUGGGCCCUGUGUGUCCUUGGCACUGAGAAGCUACCCCACCCCAUCAUCAAAUCCUUCUCUUCCCAGAAACAACGCGCAAGACGUUGAAUAUUGGCUAACAGUGGUAGGAUGGGACCCACAUCUGGAUGGACGCAUUGCCAAAGCUGCCUCUUCUCCCUGGCACGUCUUCCUGCUUCCUCUGGGGAUGGGUCAACUGAGGCACACGAGGCCAGAUCCUCAGCAGAUGUAAACCAGCGCUGCUCUGUCACAACCAAGGAAAGUAUCUCCAGGAAGUUCUCGUUGAGGUCGAUCAGCUCCUGGAUGUUGCUGAACACGCCCAGCAGCUGCUCCUGGGUCAGCAGCCCAGCCGCCUGCAUGGGCAGGUAAAACUCCUCCUUGAUGAUCCGCAGGUCCU